GGCCAGGUAGCUCAGUUGGUAGAGCAGCGGAUUGAAAAUCCGCGUGUCGGCAGUUCGAUUCUGUCCCUGGCCACCA
rnacentral:tRNA from 1 species